GACGAACGCUGGCGGCGUGCUUAACACAUGCAAGUCGAACGGAAAGGCCCUGCUUUUGUGGGGUGCUCGAGUGGCGAACGGGUGAGUAACACGUGAGUAACCUGCCCUUGACUUUGGGAUAACUUCAGGAAACUGGGGCUAAUACCGGAUAGGAGCUCCUGCUGCAUGGUGGGGGUGGGAAAGUUUCGGCGGUUGGGGAUGGACUCGCGGCUGAUCAGCUUGUUGGUGGGGUAGUGGCUUACCAAGGCUUUGACGGGUAGCCGGCCUGAGAGGGUGACCGGCCACAUUGGGACUGAGAUACGGCCCAGACUCCUACGGGAGGCAGCAGUGGGGAAUAUUGCACAAUGGGCGGAAGCCUGAUGCAGCAACGCCGCGUGCGGGAUGACGGCCUUCGGGUUGUAAACCGCUUUCGCCUGUGACGAAGCGUGAGUGACGGUAAUGGGUAAAGAAGCACCGGCUAACUACGUG
rnacentral:rRNA from 1 species